rnacentral:tRNA from 1 species
UCCAAUCAUUAGACCCCUAACACACAACAAGGGGAAAAGCA